AUUCUUUCUCAUCUCCAUUAACAUUCCACAUCAGGUUUGCAAAACCCUAGACACAACCUUCACUUGCAUUCCUGAUUCAAGCCAUUCGAAUUAUUCAGCAUCAGAUUUGGCGGCCACGAUGAUUGGAACUGAUGGUGGUUGGAGAAACGACGAUGUGAGUAGUGGUCAGGGAGACGAAAGGGAUUCAUCAUAGGUAUGUUACAAAACCUUAUGAUUCAGACUAUAAUUAAUCUGGCUCCAUCAUUCUUCGUCUUCUCAACCGUCUAAUAUGAAGGUCAGUUUCCAUCGAUUUUAGGUUUUUUAGAUUUGAGGUUUUCUUUGCAUUUUGAUUUAUUAAGGUUUUUUAUACAUCAGUUAAAUCGUUGAUACUCUAUCCUAUUAAGGAAUUGAUUUUAGGGUUUUUACGCUAAAAUCAUCAUCGGCGACCGUCGCCGUGCUAAUAUCUUCCGAUUAACAUCUGACCAAAGCGUGUAUGUAUUUGUCGGUUUGCUGGUGUUAUUCGUCAUUAGUUGCUGCUCAAUUGAUGCUCUUAAUAUUGUUAUGGUUUUUGAAAGCAUCUGAUAGAUUGGAUUGAAGAUAUACACUGAAUAUUUUGUGAUUAAUUUUGUAUAGGCAUUUGAUAGGUUUCUUCAUAUUUUUUGUGAUUGGCAGUUUGGAGCUUGAUGAACAAGAUAAGCCAAAAUCAGCGGUCUCGAGCUGUUUCUCAGGUUCAUCAUCGUGAUUAAUUUUUAUCCUUUUAUCACAAUCAUUUAGAUAUUAAUUUUACUUAACCCAUAUCGUUUAACAAUUGGGAGUCGUUUCAGUUCAAGAGCCCUAAUCUCUUGGAUCACUAUCGGAAGCCUAAGAGCAACCGGGUUGUUGUACUCUUGAUCUGUAAUGUUCUAACCCUAAAAUUCUUUCAUGAUUCAUAUUCUUAUGUUUUAUCUAUUUUGUUUUUCAUCAUGAAUUGAAAGAGGGCGGAAACAAGAUCAAGAACAUGUAUGUGAAGUGAUCAAGAUUUUGUUGGGUUAUUGGAAUAUAUGGAGAUUGAUUGGCAGCUCUGUUUCUUAAGUUUUUAGGUUAGCUCUUCGGUCACUUUGGUAUAAUCUUGCUUCUUUUUUUGUUUUAUUUAUUAACAAUUUGUGAUUUAGGAUUUUAGCCAUAAUCAUCAUGUUGUUUCUUAUUUCAUACAGAAUAUUACUAUUUGGAAUUAUCGUAGUUAUGUAAUUAAUAUCAAUAUUUCGCCAUGCCACACUUGAUCCACUGAGCUUGAUGAUGAAUCUGAUGCAGAUUUCGGACUUCUGUUCUCUAACAACGGAUUUUAGAACUGACUUACAUGCCUCUUUAUUUUAAUUUGUGUAUUAUUUAAUAGGAGCAAUUCAUUCAUUACAUUUACCACAAUUGUGCUAAUGAGACAUCUGAAGAUCAUAAUUGUGGUGAACGAAAUAGGGAAAGAGAAAGAUCUGGUUACAUGCAAUGGGAUUUCGAUGACCAUACAAGUAAGAGGUAGGUGGUAUUGUUAAUAGUUAUGACACGGAUAUGAUUUAAAACAUAUUUAUUAUUUUUGGAUUUUUACCAACAAAAAAAGUUUGUUUGACUUUUGAGAGUCAAAGUA